rnacentral:rRNA from 1 species
GCGGCGGACGGGUGAGUAAUACUUAGGAAUCUACCUAGUAGUGGGGGAUAGCACGGGGAAACUCGUAUUAAUACCGCAUACGACCUACGGGAGAAAGGGGGCAGUUUACUGCUCUCGCUAUUAGAUGAGCCUAAGUCGGAUUAGCUAGAUGGUGGGGUAAAGGCCUACCAUGGCGACGAUCUGUAGCUGGUCUGAGAGGAUGAUCAGCCACACCGGGACUGAGACACGGCCCGGACUCCUACGGGAGGCAGCAGUGGGGAAUAUUGGACAAUGGGGGAAACCCUGAUCCAGCCAUGCCGCGUGUGUGAAGAAGGCCUUUUGGUUGUAAAGCACUUUAAGCAGUGAAGAAGACUCUUCGGUUAAUACCCGGAGACGAUGACAUUAGCUGCAGAAUAAGCACCGGCUAACUCUGUGCCAGCAGCCGCGGUAAUACAGAGGGUGCAAGCGUUAAUCGGAAUUACUGGGCGUAAAGCGAGCGUAGGUGGCUUGAUAAGUCAGAUGUGAAAUCCCCGGGCUUAACCUGGGAACUGCAUCUGAAACUGUUAGGCUAGAGUAGGUGAGAGGGAAGUAGAAUUUCAGGUGUAGCGGUGAAAUGCGUAGAGAUCUGAAGGAAUACCGAUGGCGAAGGCAGCUUCCU